UGGGAACGUGCCCAAAGGUACGGAACAACUCCGGGAAACUGGAGCUAAUACCGUAUGUGCCCGAAAGGGGAAAGAUUCAUCGCCUUUGGAUCGGCCCGCGUCUGAUUAGCUAGUUGGCGGGGUAAUGGCCCACCAAGGCGACGAUCAGUAGCUGGUCUGAGAGGAUGACCAGCCACACUGGGACUGAGACACGGCCCAGACUCCGUACGGGAGGCAG
rnacentral:rRNA from 1 species